GCCCCGGUAGCUCAGUCGGUAGAGCAGCGCCCUGAAAAGGCGCGUGUCGGCAGUUCGAUUCUGCCCUGGGGCA
rnacentral:tRNA from 1 species